rnacentral:lncRNA from 1 species
AAUCCUGGAACCUGAAUGAGUAACCUCCUCACGUGCGUUUCAGAUACUGAAUAGAGUAGAGUAGGCUUUGCAUUGUUUAACUAGCAGUGCAGCACUUACAAUAAUCUUACAUUAUAGGAGUAUUACGAAACCAAACUCAUGCAUCUACCUCGUUGUUUAGUCACAACUCAUAAGAACUUGACAGAUGCCACUUGAUCGCGUCAGAAAUCGAUAGGCUUUGCAUUAUUAGUAGUAGUAAAAUCAGCGAAGUGUAGCCGACGAGAAGCGUAUUCUCCAUCUUAUUAAUUAUUCUUUUUUUAGAAAUAUAAUAUUGGAACUAGAUUUUGAGUGCAAUUUGUGUCUUACUUCACAGUUUGUAAUGACUAGUCUCAUUCUCUUGUUAGGAAAAGCUGAAGCUGGAUUUAUUUCAUCAUUAAAAAAAACUAAGAAAAUUAGUAGCAUCUGUGUACAUAUAUCCAUUUUUAUCUGUUGCUUGUAUUGGCAAUCUGUUACUUAUAUAAACAUAGAAAUACACUGAUGCAAGCAAGCACUACCGGAAACACAAAAUUUGCCGAGUGUAAACAUCUUUGCCGAGUGUAAAAACUCGGACACUCGGCAAAGGCUUAUUUUGCCGAGUGUUGCACUCGGCAAAAUGCGACACUCGGCAAACUAACCUUUUGCCGAGUGUUCGACACUCGGUAAAUAAUAACACUAGGUAAAAUAGACCUUUGCCUAGUUAACGACACUCGGCAAAAUUUUACACUCGGCAAAGCAAAAUUUUUACCGUUGGCCCCAUAACAACAGCUGACGACCGUCAACCAGCGCUUCAGGUUUGCCGAGUGUUAUAGGGUUGACACUCGGCAAAGACAUGCUUUGCCGAGUGUCAGCCCUGUGACACUCGGCAAACUAUUUUUUUUUUGAAGUUUUGACCUCCAAAAUUUUUCUUUUGUCCUCCGACAGUAACUUAAACUACAUGUUAAAAUUUGACAUGGUUUUUGAACUGUUUGCUAUAUUUAGUCAAAUUAUUUCUUUUAACGUAUUUUUUUGGAUAAUUCAAAUUUGAACUGGAAGUCACUCGAAUAAUGGAAAAAAGUAAAUGAAAAAAUGAUAUUCUUGUUAUUAAGACUAAUUUAAGGCCGUAUCCAGGAACAGACCACCAAAUUCGAACAUCUUAUUCACGGAAUAUGACCAUAAACUUACAGGCGAGUUGAUUUUAAAUUCUAUAAAAAGUAGAUAAAGUCCAAAAAUCAUAAAACUGGUCGACGUGUCAUGAUAUGAUAUGUGGAGGCUGUGAUAAAAUUUUGAUAAGGUUUCACAAAUGUUGUGAUGUAGGAUGCUUACAAACCAAGACAUCUCCACAUACGAUAUCAUGUCAUAUGUGUGUAUAUGCUAAGGUUUGUAAGCAUCGUACGUCACAACUUUCUCGUGAAACCUUAUCAAAAUUUUAUCAUAGCCUCCACAUACGAUAUCAUGAAAUGUCGACCAGUUUUUUGAUUUUUGAACUUCUUUUUCUUUUUAUAGAAUUUAAAACCAACUUGCCCGUAAGUUUGUGGUCAUAUUCCGUGAACAAGAUAUUCGAAUUUGGUGGCCUGUUCCUAGAUACGGCCUUAAAUUAGUCUCAACAACAAGAAUAUAAUUUUUCAUUUAUUUUUUUCCAUUAUUCGAGUGACUUCUAGUUCAAAUUUGAAAUAUUCAAAAAAAUCAAUUAAAUGAAAUAAAUUGACUAAAUAUAGCAAACACUUCGAAAAGCAUGCCAAAUUUUAAAAUAUAGUUUAAAUUACUGUAGGAGGACCACAGAAAAAUUUUGGAGAUCAAAACUAAAAAAAAAUAUAAUAAUUUACCAAAUGUCAAUAUAUAACAGUCGGCUAAAGUAUAUUUUUUUAAAAAAUUAACUUUGCCGAGUGCACACUGGGCAAAGCACCCACAGAGUCAAACGCACACUCACACACCUUAUCCACACACACACACGAUCACACACACCAGACUCACCCCGCCGCCGCCACACUCACCCCGCCGCCGCCGCACCAGCCACGCCGGGCCGGCCGACCAAGCCCGCGCGCCGCCUCCUUCCGAGCUAGUCACUCCGACCGGCCGCAUCCACCCGGCAUUGCUCGCCCCGACCCCGGCCAGGACCCCACCUCGCCGCCGUCGCGCCGGCGACGCCCAGCUGGCCGUCCAAGCCCGGCGCGCCGCUGCAUCCCCUGUGCCUCAUCCCGGCCGGACGCAUCCCUAGCUCCGGCGAGCGCGUGCGCGAGCUCCGUGAAGUCGAACCCGCUGCAGAGCACAAGCACAAGCAUGAGUGCGACGUCCACGGCCGGCAGGAGCAAUUUUCUGAAGGAGGUGUAGCAGGUUCGUUGGAAUUUCCUGGUGGUCUUUUUGCAGCAGGCGUGUAGUUUUGGUGGAGCAAUAGCAGAUCUGCAAAUGUGCUUGCCUUUCCUUUCUGGAGAGUAAAUAAAGUGCAGUGCGGUUAUCUUAUAGGUGUUACUAUGUACUAACACUAAAGCAUGGUCAAAGGAUUCGUGUGUAGCAGCCGACAUAAGCAUGCAGAAUAUUUAUGAAACAUACAUCUAGCACAAAGUAGAGAUUAUCCAUCAGCUUUAUUAUAUAUUGAACUUCAAUUCAAAUCCCAUGGUCAAAUGAAAGAACCUUAUGAAUAAAUCCCCUAGUAGGAGAUAGAUGGUCCUAAAACAAUAUUGUCAUAAUUUGUUCCUGGACUUCUUACUUUGGAAGCUUGCUGAAAUUUGCUGAGGCCAUGCUCAAAUCUAAUGAUUCGAGAAAGUAGGUCUGAUUGCUCAGUAUAAAAAGUGACUCUGGCUGAAUUAUGGUGAGAUGCUUGUACAAAUGCAUGGAAAGAACAGUGACUAGAAUACCUUUUUAGAACUUUAUAAUUUGCAGAACGUGAGCUGUAGAUUGCAUUUAGAAGUACAUUUCUAACUUUGCCUCUGAACUGUAGUGUGUUGCAGGGAAGUGUCAGUGAGUAUUGCUUCCACAACCGUAAAGCAGCACCAAUUAUCAUUGUGCCUGGCAAAGGUUAGUUCAGGUUCUUUACUUCGUCCCAAGCAUUUCACAAAAGUAGACCGGGUCUCAAGUAUAGUCCAUUGCUAUGGUGCUACGAAGCAUAGCAAUGCAUUUGUGAAUGCACACCCUGAAAUUAGUAUUCUGAACAAAGGGAUUUGUAGUAUUCGUAUGCCAUGUCAGUGUAGGUACAUGUUAAUAUUGAAAUAAGAUUUGGCUGAUAUCUCUGCACUCAAAUCCUUUGUGGUGGUCAUUGUUAGUGUAUACUGUGCAAGCGAAUUAUCCUUUACUUCUGUUACAAGUAAGGUUCAAUUCUGUCUUUGCAGAAGCUGGUGAACAGUCUCUUUACUAGCAAACUUUACCUUUUGCAGGCCUAGGAGAGGGUGUGGCAAAAUAUAUCAUUCCUGAUCUCCUACAGUUUCAAGAUAACUGAACAUCAGUUAAAAAAAGAUAAAUGAACACCUAUGUAGCUCACUGAUUUGUAACUUCAAACCUAGCUAGUGCAACAUUGAUGCUAUAUAUUUAUCUAGUCUAACACAUGCAACUAGUACUCAUGCAACAUUCAUGGUAUAUGUUUAUCUUGUCUCUCACAUAUGGCAAUCUCUUCUCCUAUGUGCAGAAUCAAUCAGCAGCAUCGAAUAACAUGCCUCGUCAACUUGGAGAUUCACCGGGAUCGCAUCUUGGGCCUCAUCAACUAGGACCUUCACCAUGAUGGGUUUGUGACAACUAUGAUGCUAUUGUAGUUAGCUGGACUUGUGAAAACACUUGUGCUGUAAUUUGGACAAAUACGAUGCUAUUGUGGUUGGACUUGUGGACUUGUGGUUGAUUUUGGACAAAUAUGAUGCACUCGUGAGAUAUGUGACAUAUAUUGUGGUGUUUGUGAUAUAUGUUGGCUGUUUGUGAAUCUGAUAUAUAUAUAUAUAUAUAUAUAUAUAUAUAUAUAUAUAUAUAUAUAAUGUUUGCUUGGAUGGAAAGGAAAAACAAAAAAAAAAGAUUGCUUAUGAAGAGUUUGCCGAGUGUAAUGACCAGGACACUCGGUAAACAGAAAAAGGUUUGCUGAGUGUCAGGCCUAUGUCACUCGGCAAACAUGGUCACUUUGCCUAGUGUCUCCCACCUGACACUCGGCAAACCUGGUCACUUUGCCGAGUGUCGAACGCCUGACACUCGGCAAACCUGGUCACUUUGCCGAGUGCCGAACGCCUGACACUCGGCAAACCUGGCCACUUUGCCGAGUGUUUUUUACUUGACACUCGGCAAACUGAACGCUAACGGCAGCCCAUUCCGUCACGGCAACAUUGCUUCGCCGAGUGUCGACGCGGUACUCGGUAAACUCUUCGCCGAGUGCCCGAUAAAGGACACUCGGCAAAGUAUCCUUUGCCGUUAAUUUUUUUGCCGUGCACACUUUGCCGAGUGUUACACUUGGCAAAGACUUCGCCGAGUGUUUUUUGAGCUUUGCCGAGUGCUUGUGGCACUCGGCAAAGCUACGUAUUCCAGUAGUGAAGCUGAAAUCAAAUUAACGUAUGCGUGAGUAACAGUGAGUAAUAACCAUCAUAAUUCACGCACAAUUAUAGGCGACCAUAUAUACUACGACUACAUAUUAGCAUCUAUUAUUGCCGUGGUCAGUUGACAGUUUUUUCUAAAUGCAAAGAGAUGCUUGUACUGUUAUUACGUACGUAUACGACAACAAGUUAGGCCGCCGACCUUGACAGUACUCUUGUUGUGUUGCAAGAGUCAAGCCAAAGCACCCAACCCAACUGCUGCGACCUGCGACGAUGCUAGCCGCCGACUCUGAAAACUUUAAACCAAUUGCAAUGCAAGGCGGCCUCUGA